rnacentral:rRNA from 1 species
GUAGCAAUAUUAGCGGUGUUUAGCGGCGAACGGGUGCGUAACACGUAGCUAUCUACCUCGAAGUGGGGGAUAUCUCCGAGAAAUCGGAGUUAUACCGCAUGUGGUUGUAAGACUAAAGCGGGGGACCGUAAGGCCUCGCGCUUCGAGAUGAGGCUGCGGCCUAUCAGCUAGUUGGUGAGGUAAUGGCCCACCAAGGCGAUGACGGGUAGCUGGUCUGAGAGGACGACCAGCCACACUGGAACUGAGACACGGUCCAGACACCUACGGGUGGCAGCAGUCGAGAAUCUUGGACAAUGGGCGAAAGCCUGAUCGAGCGACGCCGCGUGCAGGAUGAAGUGCUUCGGUAUGUAAACUGCUUUUGUAGACUAGAAAGUUUAUUGAUCGGUCUAAGAAUAAGAGGUUGCUAAACUCGUGCCAGCAGCAGCGGUAAUACGAGUGCCUCGAGCGUUAUCCGGAAUCAUUGGGCGUAAAGGGUGUGCAGGCGGUCUGAUUAGUCUUCUGUUAAAUUCUUCGGCUUAACCGGGGACAUGCAGGGGAAACGGUCAGACUAGAGGAUGCGAGAGGUUAACGGAACUCAUAGUGUAGCGGUGAAAUGCGUUGAUAUUAUGGGGAACACCAAAUGCGAAGGCAGUUAACUGGAGCACUCCUGACGCUGAAACACGAAAGCGUGGGUAGCGAAUGGGAUUAGAUACCCCAGUAGUCCACGCCCUAAACGAUCUUCUCUAGGUUUUCGGAGUAUCGACCCUCUGAGAGCCACAGCUAACGCGUUAAGAGAAGCGCCUGGGUAGUACGACCGCAAGGUUAAAACUCAAAGGAAUAGACGGGGACUUGCACAAGCGGAGGAUCAUGUGGUUUAAUUCGAUGACAAACGAAGAACCUUACCAGGGUUAGAAAUCUAGUUGAAGACAUUUGGAAACUUUUGUCGUCCGCAGGACAAUUAGACAGGUGAUGCAUGGCCGUCGUCAGUUCGUGGUUUGAAUU